ensembl:lncRNA
GUAAACUCUUAGUGCAAGAGCAGACAGGCUUAUAUCAGUUUGCCUGGGCCUAACCAAACUUUGAAUAAGAUGAACUGAGCAAAAAGUGGCCAAAGAAGAUGUAAAAGAAAACAUUUUUAUGGAAAAACAGAUGCGAUAACGAGAACACGACAGCUGGCAUUGCAUUUACUUGCAUACUUGGGCAAAUAAAGGCAUCUUUGGAAGCACAUAUAGAGAAAGACGGAUGAAGUGAAGCAGCAGGUGACAUGCACUAAAGAUGGAAAGCAGAAUGAAAACAUGACAGCAAGCCAGUAAAGUGGACAGGGAGAGAAAUCAGCAUGGAGGAAAUAAAAUUGUAGGAGGAAGAGAAGGAGGAGGAUGGACUAGCUGGGGUACUUUCAUCCUUCCCCAUGGAGAUUUAUCAUCUUUACAUGGCCAAUUCAAAAAGGAAUCCUUUGACUCUGAAUAUCUUUUAUACUCACUCCCACUCCUUCCGGCGGGCUUGCGGCGUGCUCUGUAUUUUGUGAGCCUGGUGGGCCAUGAUGAUGUCCUUUUGUUCCACGAGCCCCCCGCGCCGUCGCAGCAUGCCGUGGGGGCUCAGAGACCCCGAGCCCUGGUCGGACGAGCCCUCUUCCCGACCACAAGGCACAUCAAAGCUGGCUGCUCGAGGGGGCAACCCCAGGCAUUCAGGGACGGCAUGAGGGACCUGCAGGGAGGAGGAGCGAGCUCCCUGUGCCAGGCCAGGACGGGAGGCAGAGCUGGAUUUCCGCCAGGGCUCAGGUUCAGGGAGAGACAGGGAGGACUGGAUGUGUGUCUCCCCCCGCCGACCACAGCUGGAGGGAGAGUGGAGGUUGGGUGAAAGGGAGAGGGAGAGGGACUGGUCUGAACUGGUGAGCAUCUCUACAGAA